UUUUAUCGUUUUUGGCAUAUUUUAGGGUCGAUAUUUGGGAUUUUGGCCAAUUUUAGUGUUUGUAGUGGUUUUUAAUGUUUUUGGCCUAUUUUAGGGUCGUUCUUUAGUUUUUGGCCAAUUUAAGUGUUUGUAGUCGUUUUUAUGGGUUAUGGCCAAUUUUGGUGUUCGUAGUCGUUUUUUCGAUUUUGCCCUAUUUUAGGUCGUUUAUAUGGUUUUUGGCCAAUUUUAGUGUUUGUAGUCGUUUUUUUUUUAUGGUUUUUGGCCUAUUUUAGGUCGUUUAUAUGGUUUUUGGCCAAUUUUGGUGUUUGUAGUUGUUUUUAUGGUUUUUGGCCAAUUUUAGUGUUUGUAGUGGUUUUUAAUGUUUUUGGCCUAUUUUAGGGACGUUCUUUAGUUUUUGGCCAAUUUAAGUGUUUGUAGUCGUUUUUAUGGGUUAUGGCCAAUUUUAGUGUUCGUAGUCGUUUUUAUGGUUUUUGGCCUAUUUUAGGGUCGUUUAUAUAGUAUUUUUUGCCAAUUUUAGUGUUUGUAGUCGUUUUAUGGGUUAUGGCCAAUUUUAGUAUUCGUAGUCGUUUAUUUGAUUUUGGCCUAUUUUAGGGUCGUUUAUAUAGUUUUUUGCAAAUUUUAGUGUUUGUAGUCGUUUUUAUGGGUUAUGGCCAAUUUUAGUGUUCGUAGUCGUUUAUUUGAUUUUGGCCUAUUUUAGGUCGUUUAUAAGGUUUUUGGUCCAUUUUAGUAUUUGUAGUCGUUUUUUAUAGUUUUUGGCCUAUUUUAGGUCGUUUAUAUGGUUUUUGGCCAAUUUUGGUGUUUGUAGUUGUUUUUAUGGUUUUUG
rnacentral:lncRNA from 1 species